UACGUAGGGGGCAAGCGUUGUCCGGAUUUAUUGGGCGUAAAGAGCGUGUAGGCGGUUUGGUAGGUCCGCUGUGAAAACUCGAGCUCAACCUCGAGACGCCGGUGGAAACCAUCAGACUAGAGUCCGGAAGAGGAGAGUGGAAUUCCUGGUGUAGCGGUGAAAUGCGCAGAUAUCAGGAAGAACACCCGUGGCUAAGGCGGUUAGCUGGGCAGUUGCUGACACUGAGGCGCGACAGCGUGGGGAGCAAACAGG
rnacentral:rRNA from 1 species